GGAAGCUCCGAGCUGGGAGCAGGUGCUGCUGCCUGAGCAACACUGAUGGGAACAGACACUGCUCCCAACUGUGGCCAAGAUGUAGCUCAGGUGUUUACCAUGGCGCUGAGCGUCUCCUCCCAGUCCGGCCUCUCCCUGGGAUGGAUGCUCCUCUGCAGCUCUGGGACAAAGUCAUCUUCUUCUGCGUGGACAGAGGACUUCAUCAUUCUGCAAAGGACAGAAGGUGGAUAUUCACUGACAAUUCCUAGGUAAUCUCACAUCCAGUCUGUUACAGUGCUCAGUUAUGUGACAACAUAAAAUGAUUUUACACAUCCAGAAA